GGACAGAUGACCGAGUGGUUAAGGUGCCAGCUUCAGGUUCAAAACUGAUAUUCGUGAAUUUCAUUCAUGCUGGUGUUGCAAGACUCGGGGGUUCGAAUCCCCCUCUGUUCA